rnacentral:rRNA from 1 species
GGAUUCCCCUAGUAACUGCGAGUGAAGCGGGAAAAGCUCAAAUUUAAAAUCUGGCAGUCUCUGGCUGUCCGAGUUGUAAUCUAGAGAAGUAAUGCCCGUGCUGGACCGUGUAUAAGUCUCCUGGGAUGGGGCGUCAUAGAGGGUGAGAAUCCCGUCUUUGACACGGACUACCAGUGCAUUGUGGUAUGCUCUCAAAGAGUCGAGUUGUUUGGGAAUGCAGCUCAAAAUGGGUGGUAAAUUCCAUCUAAAGCUAAAUAUUGGCGAGAGACCGAUAGCGAACAAGUACCGUGAGGGAAAGAUGAAAAGAACUUUGGAAAGAGAGUUAAACAGUACGUGAAAUUGCUGAAAGGGAAACGCUUGAAGUCAGUCGCGUUGGCCGGGAAUCAGCCUUGCUUUUGCAUGGUGUACUUUCUGGUUGAUGGGUCAGCAUCAAUUUUGACCRCUGGAAAAAGGCCUGGGGAAUGUGGCAGCUUCGGCUGUGUUAUAGCCCCUAGUCACAUACAGUGGUUGGGAUUGAGGAACUCAGCACGCCGCAAGGCCGGGUUUCGACCACGUUCGUGCUUAGGAUGCUGGCAUAAUGGCUUUAAGCGACCCGUCUUGAAACACGGACCAAGGAGUCUAACAUGCCUGCGAGUAUUUGGGUGGAAAACCCAAGUGCGUAAUGAAAGUGAAAGUUGAGAUCCCUGUCGUGGGGAGCAUCGACGCCCGGACCAGAACUUUUGGGACGGAUCCGCGGUGGAGCAUGUAUGUUGGGACCCGAAAGAUGGUGAACUAUGCCUGAAUAGGGUGAAGCCAGAGGAAACUCUGGUGGAGGCUCGUAGCGAUUCUGACGUGCAAAUCGAUCGUCAAAUUUGGGUAUAGGGGCGAAAGACUAAUCGA